GGUUAAGCGACUAAGCGUACACGGUGGAUGCCCUGGCAGUCAGAGGCGAUGAAGGACGUGCUAAUCUGCGAAAAGCGUCGGUAAGGUGAUAUGAACCGUUAUAGCCGGCGAUGUCCGAAUGGGGAAACCCAGUGUGAUUCGUCACACUAUCGUUAACUGAAUACAUAGGUUAACGAGGCGAACCGGGGGAACUGAAACAUCUAAGUACCCCGAGGAAAAGAAAUCAACCGAGAUUCCCCCAGUAGCGGCGAGCGAACGGGGAGCAGCCCAGAGUCUGAAUCAGCUUGUGUGUUAGUGGAACGGUCUGGAAAGUCCGACGGUACAGGGUGAUAGUCCCGUACACCAAAAUGCACAGGCUGUGAACUCGAAGAGUAGGGCGGGACACGUGGUAUCCUGUCUGAAUAUGGGGGGACCAUCCUCCAAGGCUAAAUACUCCUGACUGACCGAUAGUGAACCAGUACCGUGAGGGAAAGGCGAAAAGAACCCCGGCGAGGGGAGUGAAAAAGAACCUGAAACCGUGUACGUACAAGCAGUGGGAGCACCUUCGGGUGUGACUGCGUACCUUUUGUAUAAUGGGUCAGCGACUUAUAUUCUGUAGCAAGGUUAACCGUAUAGGGGAGCCGCAGGGAAACCGAGUCUUAACUGGGCGUUAAGUUGCAGGGUAUAGACCCGAAACCCGGUGAUCUAGCCAUGGGCAGGUUGAAGGUUGGGUAACACUAACUGGAGGACCGAACCGACUAAUGUUGAAAAAUUAGCGGAUGACUUGUGGCUGGGGGUGAAAGGCCAAUCAAACCGGGAGAUAGCUGGUUCUCCCCGAAAGCUAUUUAGGUAGCGCCUCGUGAAUUCAUCUUCGGGGGUAGAGCACUGUUUCGGCUAGGGGGUCAUCCCGACUUACCAACCCGAUGCAAACUACGAAUACCGAAGAAUGUUAUCACGGGAGACACACGGCGGGUGCUAACGUCCGUCGUGAAGAGGGAAACAACCCAGACCGCCAGCUAAGGUCCCAAAGUCAUGGUUAAGUGGGAAACGAUGUGGGAAGGCACAGACAGCCAGGAUGUUGGCUUAGAAGCAGCCAUCAUUUAAAGAAAGCGUAAUAGCUCACUGGUCGAGUCGGCCUGCGCGGAAGAUGUAACGGGGCUAAACCAUGCACCGAAGCUGCGGCAGCGACACUAUGUGUUGUUGGGUAGGGGAGCGUUCUGUAAGCCUGCGAAGGUGACCUGUGAGGGUUGCUGGAGGUAUCAGAAGUGCGAAUGCUGACAUAAGUAACGAUAAAGCGGGUGAAAAGCCCGCUCGCCGGAAGACCAAGGGUUCCUGUCCAACGUUAAUCGGGGCAGGGUGAGUCGACCCCUAAGGCGAGGCCGAAAGGCGUAGUCGAUGGGAAACAGGUUAAUAUUCCUGUACUUGGUGUUACUGCGAAGGGGGGACGGAGAAGGCUAUGUUAGCCGGGCGACGGUUGUCCCGGUUUAAGCAUGUAGGCUGAUUGUCCAGGCAAAUCCGGAUAAUCAAGGCUGAGGUGUGAUGACGAGGCACUACGGUGCUGAAGUAACAAAUGCCCUGCUUCCAGGAAAAGCCUCUAAGCAUCAGGUAACAUUAAAUCGUACCCCAAACCGACACAGGUGGUCAGGUAGAGAAUACCAAGGCGCUUGAGAGAACUCGGGUGAAGGAACUAGGCAAAAUGGUGCCGUAACUUCGGGAGAAGGCACGCUGGUGUGUAGGUGAAGUCCCUGCGGAUGGAGCUGAGACCAGUCGAAGAUACCAGCUGGCUGCAACUGUUUAUUAAAAACACAGCACUGUGCAAACACGAAAGUGGACGUAUACGGUGUGACGCCUGCCCGGUGCCGGAAGGUUAAUUGAUGGGGUUAUCCGUAAGGAGAAGCUCUUGAUCGAAGCCCCGGUAAACGGCGGCCGUAACUAUAACGGUCCUAAGGUAGCGAAAUUCCUUGUCGGGUAAGUUCCGACCUGCACGAAUGGCGUAAUGAUGGCCAGGCUGUCUCCACCCGAGACUCAGUGAAAUUGAACUCGCUGUGAAGAUGCAGUGUACCCGCGGCAAGACGGAAAGACCCCGUGAACCUUUACUAUAGCUUGACACUGAACAUUGAGCCUUGAUGUGUAGGAUAGGUGGGAGGCUUUGAAGCGUGGACGCCAGUCUGCGUGGAGCCAACCUUGAAAUACCACCCUUUAAUGUUUGAUGUUCUAACGUUGGCCCCUUACCGGGGUUGCGGACAGUGUCUGGUGGGUAGUUUGACUGGGGCGGUCUCCUCCCAAAGCGUAACGGAGGAGCACGAAGGUUAGCUAAUCCUGGUCGGACAUCAGGAGGUUAGUGCAAUGGCAUAAGCUAGCUUGACUGCGAGCGUGACGGCGCGAGCAGGUGCGAAAGCAGGUCAUAGUGAUCCGGUGGUUCUGAAUGGAAGGGCCAUCGCUCAACGGAUAAAAGGUACUCCGGGGAUAACAGGCUGAUACCGCCCAAGAGUUCAUAUCGACGGCGGUGUUUGGCACCUCGAUGUCGGCUCAUCACAUCCUGGGGCUGAAGUAGGUCCCAAGGGUAUGGCUGUUCGCCAUUUAAAGUGGUACGCGAGCUGGGUUUAGAACGUCGUGAGACAGUUCGGUCCCUAUCUGCCGUGGGCGCUGGAGAAUUGAGGGGGGCUGCUCCUAGUACGAGAGGACCGGAGUGGACGCAUCACUGGUGUUCGGGUUGUCAUGCCAAUGGCACUGCCCGGUAGCUAAAUGCGGAAGAGAUAAGUGCUGAAAGCAUCUAAGCACGAAACUUGCCCCGAGAUGAGUUCUCCCUGAGACUUUAAGUCUCCUGAAGGAACGUUAAAGACGAUGACGUUGAUAGGCCGGGUGUGUAAGCGCAGCGAUGCGUUGAGCUAACCGGUACUAAUGAACCGUGAGGCUUAACCUU
rnacentral:rRNA from 1 species